rnacentral:lncRNA from 1 species
AGUGCACAUAGUCUUGCUUCACAAUCAACUAUUUGAUAAUGUGUUAAGGAUGCAAAUACAAAUCUCUCUAGGAUAGUACUUCCUAAGGAGAAUUAAUGACAGUAUAGACAUAGUAAUUGCAUAAAACUGUGUUGGCAUCAUUCUCCACCUAAGUUUCUCUCCUCCAUCCAGGUGUGUUCACUUAAUAUUUUCUUUAAAUAACUUAUUUUCUCACCUGCAGGCUGGUCCUGACCUAGGGUUGCCUGUUAACUCAGCAGGAGGAAAAGUAAAAGCCUUUCUUGAAGCAACAGUGAUAUUUAGUAGA